CUGGGGAAGCUUCUAGUGUGUUUGCUGAGGUCCUGCUUUGGGGAGCUGCACAAGGGCAGAAGAAAUAGGAGUCAACAAAAUCAUUUGAUCUGAUCGACCAUGUGGAAAUGCAGUCCAGGAAUACUGUAGGGGAGCUCUGAGUCCUGUAAACAUCAGCUCAUGCCAAGACUGAGCUUUCCCAGAGCAUUCCUGUGAGCUCUGCUUCAAGGACAAGGGGAAAUCAGCCUCUCACUGGAGUGGCCCUUCACUCUGGGAUCUGGAUCUGCUCCAGUAGCCAAGCACCUUUACUCAACCCCAGAAACUGGCAUGCCUAAAUUUCAGAUGCAGAAGGUACUUUCAUCCAGCCCCAAGUGUAUGCAC